GAUGAACGCUGGCGGCGUGCCUAAUACAUGCAAGUCGAGCGAACGGACGAGAAGCUUGCUUCUCUGAUGUUAGCGGCGGACGGGUGAGUAACACGUGGAUAACCUACCUAUAAGACUGGGAUAACUUCGGGAAACCGUAGCUAAUACCGGAUAAUAUUUUGAACCGCAUGGUUCAAAAGUGAAAGACGGUCUUGCUGUCACUUAUAGAUGGAUCCGCGCUGCAUUAGCUAGUUGGUAAGGUAACGGCUUACCAAGGCAACGAUGCAUAGCCGACCUGAGAGGGGGAUCGGCCACACUGGAACUGAGACACGGUCCAGACUCCUACGGGAGGCAGCAGUAGGGAAUCUUCCGCAAUGGGCGAAAGCCUGACGGAGCAACGCCGCGUGAGUGAUGAAGGUCUUCGGAUCGGAAAACUCUGUUAUUAGGGAAGAACAUAUGUGUAAGUAACUGUGCACAUCUUGACGGUACCUAAUCAGAAAGCCACGGCUAACUACGU
rnacentral:rRNA from 1 species